rnacentral:snoRNA from 1 species
GUGAAUGAUGAACAAUGGGUCUCCUGAUUGGUGAUGAUCCGUUGGAGCACUGACG